rnacentral:rRNA from 1 species
CACGGAGUUAGCCGAUCCUUAUUCUCACGGUACACUCAAGCCGGCACGCGUGCCGGUGUUUGUUCCCGUGCAAAAGCAGUUUACAACCCAUAGGGCAGUCCUCCUGCACGCGGCAUGGCUGGUUCAGGCUCCCGCCCAUUGACCAAUAUUCCUUACUGCUGCCUCCCGUAGGAGUCUGGUCCGUGUCUCAGUACCAGUGUGGGGGAUUCUCCUCUCAGAGCCCCUAGGCAUCAUAGCCUUGGUAAGCCGUUACCCUACCAACUAGCUAAUGCCACGCGAGCCCAUCCGUCCCCUAUAAAUAUUUGGUUAUACAACCGAUGCCGGUAUAUAACUUUAUGCGGUGUUAAUCCCUCUUUCGAGGGGCUAUCCCCUGGGACGGGCAGGUUGCUCACGCGUUACGCACCCGUGCGCCACUCUCACCACCAGCAAGCUGGUGGAUCCCGUUCGACUUGCAUGUAUUAGGCCUGCCGCUAGCGUUCAUCCUGAGCCAGGAUCAAACUCU